rnacentral:tRNA from 7 species
GCCGUUAUAGCUCAGGUAGUAGAGCACGUUCUUGGUAAGAACGAGGUCAUCAGUGCAAAUCUGAUUAACGGCUCCA